GAUGAACGCUAGCUACAGGCUUAACACAUGCAAGUCGAGGGGCAGCAUGGAAGAAGCUUGCUUCUUCUGAUGGCGACCGGCGCACGGGUGCGUAACGCGUAUCAAACCUGCCUCAUACUCGGGGAUAGCCUUGCGAAAGUAAGAUUAAUACCCGAUGUUGUUAUGUUACCGCAUGGUGAUAUAACCAAAGAUUUAUCGGUAUGAGAUGGUGAUGCGUCCGAUUAGGUAGUAGGCGGGGUAACGGCCCACCUAGCCUUCGAUCGGUAGGGGUUCUGAGAGGAAGGUCCCCCACACUGGAACUGAGACACGGUCCAGACUCCUACGGGAGGCAGCAGUGAGGAAUAUUGGUCAAUGGACGAAAGUCUGAACCAGCCAAGUAGCGUGCAGGAUGACGGCCCUCCGGGUUGUAAACUGCUUUUAGUUGGGAAUAAAAAAGAGGACGUGUCCUCUAUUGUAUGUACCUUCAGAAAAAGGACCGGCUAAUUCCGUGCCAGCAGCCGCGGUAAUACGGAAGGUCCAGGCGUUAUCCGGAUUUAUUGGGUUUAAAGGGAGCGUAGGCGGAUUAUUAAGUCAGUGGUGAAAGACGGUGGCUCAACCAUCGUUAGCCAUUGAAACUGGUAGUCUUGAGUGCAGACAGGGAUGCUGGAACUCGUGGUGUAGCGGUGAAAUGCUUAGAUAUCACGAUGAACUCCGAUCGCGAAGGCAGGUGUCCGGGCUGCAACUGACGCUGAGGCUCGAAAGUGUGGGUAUCAAACAGG
rnacentral:rRNA from 1 species